ensembl:snoRNA
AGAUCAUUCGCCAUUGAGACACAGGUUAUGCUUCCAUCACAGUAAGUUUAUUGCAGUGGUGACAAUGAGACCAGUAACAUUU